rnacentral:misc_RNA from 1 species
UCCGGUUUGUCACCGGCAGUCUCCCUAGAGUGCCCUUGCGUAGCAACUAGGGACAAGGGUUGCGCUCGUUGCGGGACUUAACCCAACAUCUCACGACACGAGCUGACGACAGCCAUGCAGCACCUGUGUUCCGGUUCCCUUUCGGGCACAACCACCUCUCGGCGGCCUUCCAGACAUGUCAAGGGUAGGUAAGGUUGUUCGCGUUGCAUCGAAUUAAUCCACAUCAUCCACCGCUUGUGCGGGUCCCCGUCAAUUCCUUUGAGUUUUAAUCUUGCGACCGUACUCCCCAGGCGGAUCACUUCACGCGUUAGCUACGGUACUCAGAGAUCGCUCCCCGAACACCUAGUGAUCAUCGUUUAGGGCGUGGACUAC